rnacentral:rRNA from 1 species
GGGGAAUAUUGCGCAAUGGGGGGAACCCUGACGCAGCAACGCCGCGUGAGCGACGAAGGCCUUCGGGUCGUAAAGCUCUGUCUAGAGGGAUGAAUUUUGACAGUACCUCUGGAGGAAGCCCCGGCUAACUACGUGCCAGCAGCCGCGGUAAUACGUAGGGGGCAAGCGUUGUCCGGAAUUACUGGGCGUAAAGGGCGCGUAGGCGGUAGGUUAAGUCAGAUGUGAAAGUCCAGGGCUCAACCGUGGAAUUGCAUUUGAAACUGACCUACUUGAGUGCAGGAGAGGAGAGCGGAAUUCCUAGUGUAGCGGUGAAAUGCGUAGAUAUUAGGAAGAACACCAGUGGCGAAGGCGGCUCUCUGGACUGUAACUGACGCUGAGGCGCGAAAGCGUGGGUAGCGAAC